rnacentral:lncRNA from 1 species
CGAUUUCUUCAUCUAUUUUCUCUCCUUUCUUAGUUCCUUACACUCCCUUUUAUUUUGUAAAAGAAGAGUGUCAGUUAAUGGAUGUUUUGGAUGCUUUUCAUUGAUUUCCUAGAGAGUUGUUGAUCUCUAUCUCGGAUUUUGCAUGUCUCGGCAGUGACACCAAGGCAAAAGAAACGAGAUCUGUAUUAACUUGUCCAUUUUCUUUCAACUCUAUAAUUUUUCACUGAUACCUUAUCUUCUUACGAAUCCAUUGAAUGCUUUUUCUCCUCCAAAGAUCGUGUUUUGAUGAUUUGGUGACAGAAUCAUCAAGCAUAGCUUCGGAAAUCGUUUUUAGGAUAAACAAGGAAGUUAUGCAUCAAGUCAUAUAGUUUCUUCUAAGUUUAUGAUUUUUAUCAAGAACCUGACUUCCUUACGAAUCCAAUGAAUGUUUUUUUUCUUCUGAAUAUCGUGUUUUGGUGACUUGGUGAUAGAAUCAUCAAGCACAUCAUUAUAAAUCGUUUUCUGGAUUCGUUUUUUCGACCUUUCUAUAGACCGAAACUGAUUUUGUGAGUUGCACAAGGAUUAAGUCAUUAUCUUUUGAACAGUCUUAGUUUAAUUAGUUUUGUACCUUUGUUAAUUUUUUCGUGAUUUUAUAAGGUAUUUGAGAUAGGUUUUUGUAUUUUACAAGACUCGUUUUCUGUUUUUUUCUUUCUUUCUGACCUUCCCAUGGUUCAAAUCUGAUUUCAUGAGGGAAACAUGAAUUUAGGUUAAAAAUAUUUUGGGAGAAUUUAGCUUAGUUAGUUUCCCACGUUCUGUUAUUUUUUCAUAAUUUUAUAAUGUGUUUAGUAUAAGCUUUUAAAUUUUACUAUAACUGUUUUCUUUGUUUGUUUGGUUCUAGAUUUCUGAUUUUUCAUUGAUAGUAAUUUCAUUCCUCAGUCAGUGACACCUUGUAUUACAAGAUAAUUUUUAAAAGAAUUGCCUUAUAGUUAGUUAUCUGUACUUUUAGAUUUUUUUACAUAGUUUUUAGAGUUAGAAACAUUAGGAGUUCAUAAUUUACAAAAAAAAACAAGAUCUCUAUCUACUUUUCAUUUUUUUUACAAUGCUUUAUAUUUAGAUGAUAUUCUAACUUUCUAAUUUCCCUGAGGACCGACUUGAAAUCCCUGUAAUUAAAGAAAAAUUUAUUUUGGUUUUCAGUUUAUAAAUAUUAAAUUUAAGUGUCUAAAUUAACGACGACUUUAGCCACAUCAAGGAUGCCAUCAUGCACACACACAGAUGGACCCACACACAGAUG